rnacentral:rRNA from 1 species
CGGGGUGAGUAACGCGUAGGUAUCUAUCCAUGGGUGGGGGAGUAACGCUGGGAAACUGGUGCUAAUACCGCAUGACGCCUGAGGGCCAAAGGCAGCGAUGUCGCCUGUGGAGGAGCCUGCGUACGAUUAGCUUGUUGGUGGGGUAAAGGCCUACCAAGGCGACGAUCGUUAGCUGGUCUGAGAGGAUGAUCAGCCACACUGGAACUGAGACACGGUCCAG